rnacentral:rRNA from 1 species
UGAGGAAUAUUGGUCAAUGGACGAGAGUCUGAACCAGCCAAAUCGCGUGAAGGAAGACUGCCCUACGGGUUGUAAACUUCUUUUGUACAGGAAUAAAAGACAUUACGCGUAAUGUAUUGCAUGUACUGUACGAAUAAGCAUCGGCUAACUCCGUGCCAGCAGCCGCGGUAAUACGGAGGAUGCGAGCGUUAUCCGGAUUUAUUGGGUUUAAAGGGUGCGCAGGCGGGAUUUUAAGUCAGCGGUGAAAUUUUCAGGCUCAACCUGAACACUGCCGUUGAAACUGGGAGCCUUGAGUAUGGAUGAAGUGGGCGGAAUUCGUUGUGUAGCGGUGACAUGCUUAGAUAUAACGAGGAACUCCGAUUGCGUAGGCAGCUUACUAAGCCAUAACUGACGCUCAAGCACGAAAGCGUGGGGAUCAAACA